GUGCCAGCCGCCGCGGUAAUACGGAGGAUCCAAGCGUUAUCCGGAAUCAUUGGGUUUAAAGGGUCCGUAGGCGGUUUAGUAAGUCAGUGGUGAAAGCCCAUCGCUCAACGGUGGAACGGCCAUUGAUACUGUCUGACUUGAAUUAUUAGGAAGUAACUAGAAUAUGUAGUGUAGCGGUGAAAUGCUUAGAGAUUACAUGGAAUACCAAUUGCGAAGGCAGGUUACUACUAAUGGAUUGACGCUGAUGGACGAAAGCGUGGGUAGCGAACAGGAUUAGAUACCCUGGUAGUCUACGCCGUAAACGAUGGUUACUAGCUGUUCGGAAGCAAUUCUGAGUGGCUAAGCGAAAGUGAUAAGUAACCCACCUGGGGAGUACGUUCGCAAGAAUGAAACUCAAAGGAAUUGACGGGGGCCCGCACAAGCGGNGGAGCAUGUGGUUUAAUUCGAUGAUACGCGAGGAACCUUACCAGGGCUU
rnacentral:rRNA from 1 species